GCUCGGUGGUGUAGUUGGUUAGAGCAUUCGUUGGCAAAUGUGACUAAAAAUCUUCCAUCGUAGCUGCGGAUUCGAAUCCCGCCAUCGGCA